rnacentral:rRNA from 1 species
GAUGAACGCUGGCGGCGUGCUUAACACAUGCAAGUCGAACGGUGAAGGCGGAGCUGGCUCUGCUGGAUGAGUGGCGAACGGGAGAGUAACACGUGAGCAAUCUGCCCCUGACUCUGGGAUAAGCGCUGGAAACGGCGUCUAAUACUGGAGACGAGCUGCGAAGGCAUCUUCAGCAGCUGAAAAGAACUUCGGUCAGGGAUGGGCGGGCGGCUUAUCAGCUUGUGGGUCAGGUAACGGCCCACCAACGCGUCGGCGGGUAGCCGGCAUGGGAGCGUGACCGGCCACACUGGGACUGCGGCACGGCCCAGAGUCCAACGGGAGGCAGCAGUGGGGAAUAUUGCACAAUGGGGGAACGCCUGAUGCAGCAACGCCGCGUGAGGGAAGCCGGCCUUCGGGUUGUAAACCUCUUUUAGCAGGGAAGAAGCGAAAGUGACGGUACCUGCAGAAAAAGCGCCGGCUAACUACGUG